rnacentral:rRNA from 1 species
CACGCACGCUGGCGGCAUGCCUAACACAUGCAAGUCGAACGAGACCUUCCGGUCUAGUGGCGCACGGGUGCUUAACGCGUGGUAACUUGCCCUUAGGUUCGGAAUAACUGCCCGUAAGGUGUGCUAAUACCGGAUAAUGUCUUCGGAGCAAAGAUGUAUUGCUUUUGGAUGGGCCCGCGUUGGAUUAGGGAGUUGGUAGGGGAAAAGCCGACUAGGGCGACGAUCCAUAGCUGGUGUGAGAGGAGGAUCAUCCACACUGGGACUGAGACCCGGCCCAGACUCCUACGGGAGGCAGCGGUGGGGGAUAUAGGAGCAUGGGCGAAAGCCUGCUCCACCGCGGCCGGGAUAGUGAUGAACGCUUUAGAGUUGUAAAGCUCUUUUACCCGGGAUGAUAAUGACAGUACGGGGAGAAUAAGCCCGGGUGAAUUCCGU